rnacentral:rRNA from 1 species
AUUGAACGCUGGCGGCAUGCUUUACACAUGCAAGUCGGACGGCAGCACAGAGAAGCUUGCUUCUUGGGUGGCGAGUGGCGAACGGGUGAGUAACAUAUCGGAACGUACCGAGCAGUGGGGGAUAACUAAUCGAAAGAUUAGCUAAUACCGCAUAUCUUCUGAGGAAGAAAGCAGGGGACCAUUUGGCCUUGCGCUGUUUGAGCGGCCGAUAUCUGAUUAGCUAGUUGGUGGGGUAAAGGCCUACCAAGGCGACGAUCAGUAGCGGGUCUGAGAGGAUGAUCCGCCACACUGGGACUGAGACACGGCCCAGACUCCUACGGGAGGCAGCAGUGGGGAAUUUUGGACAUUGGGCGCAAGCCUGAUCCAGCCAUGCCGCGUGUCUGAAGAAGGCCUUCGGGUUGUAAAGGACUUUUGUCAGGGAAGAAAAGGGCGGGGUUAAUACCCCUGUCUGAUGACGGUACCUGAAGAAUAAGCACCGGCUAACUACGUG